AUACGGAGGGUGCAAGCGUUAUUCGGAAUCACUGGGCGUAAAGGACGCGUAGGCGGGUUGGCAAGUCAGAUGUGGAAUCCUACAGCUUAACUGUAGAACUGCAUUUGAAACUGCUAACCUAGAGUAUGGGAGGGGGAGAUGGAAUUAGUGGUGUAGGGGUAAAAUCCGUAGAUAUCACUAGGAAUACCGAAAGCGAAGGCGAUCUCCUGGAACAUAACUGACGCUAAGGCGUGAAAGCGUGGGGAGCAAACAGGAUUAGAUACCCUAGUAGUCC
rnacentral:rRNA from 1 species